ensembl:ncRNA M88.10 ncRNA
CAAACUAGCAUGUUUAUAUCCAAACAGAAACUUUUCCAUUCAACAGGCAAUCUCUCUUUCUGUGUCUGUCUCUGACUCGGAGCGCCUCGCGUCAGGGACAGCAGGGUCGUGGCGCCCAUCUCGAGACAUAGACGUCCUCCGCGUACACACACUCGCGUACUCUGCUUCUCUUCUUCUCUCCUGUGCCACAACCAUCGUCGUCCCCGGUCUCCUUU